UAGUGUUGAGGUUCGAACCUGGAACUUCAUCUAGGCGGUCUUCACUCUGCGGCGAUGCUGGAGGAGACGACGAGAUCGCGGCGCCUUGAUCUUGAGUUUCAUGAGGCACGAUAAGGAUGUCCAGGCCUAUGGUGCUUGCUCUAGUGCUCCUGUUUUUGAUUUUCUCCUCUCAAACGGAGUGGCUCCAACAAGUAAAGAUUGAGCCCGAGGCAGAACCACCCCCUAGAGCGCUACACGCAUCCAGCCACCAAGUUAACGAACAGAUCAUAUUCCUACAGGAGAAACAAAUCCACACACUCACUCAGCUCGUAAGAAGUUUGCGAAACCAAUUGUCGCUCUGCCAGGAAACUCUCGCAAAGGAAAACGCCACCGAGACUCUGCUCGAUGUCCCAGAAGCGGAUUGACGGUGUCGUAAGUAUUUCGUGAGUGUGUAAGCUGGAAGUCUACAAAUAAAACUCGUUGCUCGUUUUCUAACA